GAUGAACGCUGGCGGCGUGCCUAAUACAUGCAAGUCGAGCGAACAGACGAGGAGCUUGCUCCUCUGACGUUAGCGGCGGACGGGUGAGUAACACGUGGAUAACCUACCUAUAAGACUUGGAUAACUUCGGGAAACCGGAGCUAAUACCGGAUAAUAUAUUGAACCGCAUGGUUCAAUAGUGAAAGACGGUUUUGCUGUCACUUAUAGAUGGAUCCGCGCCGCAUUAGCUAGUUGGUAAGGUAACGGCUUACCAAGGCAACGAUGCGUAGCCGACCUGAGAGGGUGAUCGGCCACACGGGAACUGAGACACGGUCCAGACUCCUACGGGAGGCAGCAGUAGGGAAUCGUCCGCAAUGGGCGAAAGCCUGACGGAGCAACGCCGCGUGAGUGAUGAAGGUCUUCGGAUCGUAAAACUCUGUUAUUAGGGAAGAACAAAUGUGUAAGUAACUAUGCACGUCUUGACGGUACCUAAUCAGAAAGCCACGGCUAACUACGUG
rnacentral:rRNA from 1 species